AUUGAACGCUGGCGGCAGGCUUAACACAUGCAAGUCGAGCGAGCGGCGGACGGGUGAGUAAUGUCUGGGGAACUGCCCGAUGGAGGGGGAUAACUACUGGAAACGGUAGCUAAUACCGCAUACCAUCGGAUGUACCCAGAUGGGAUUAGCUCGUAGGUGGGGUAAUGGCUCACCUAGGCGACGAUCUCUAGCUGGUCUGAGAGGAUGAACAGCCACACUGGAACUGAGACACGGUCCAGACUCCUACGGUAGGCAGCAGUGGGGAAUAUUUCACAAUGGGCGCAAGCCUGAUGCAGCCAUGCCGCUUGUGUGAAGAAGGCCUUAGUGUUUUAAAGCACUUUCAGCGAGGAGGCGUUACUGGCAGAAGAAGCACCGGCUAACUCCGUGCCAGCAGCCGCGGUAAUUC
rnacentral:rRNA from 1 species